UUCGAUUCUGGUGAUGCAGUGUUAGUAAUUUUUACCUUUAGCUUUAAUGUGUGGCUCCGCCAGGUGUCUUAAUAAUUGCAGAUGUAAAUGUCCAAGCUCACCAGUCAUUGCUUUGUUUUAAAUAGAUUUACAAACUAAGAAAGCUAAAUUCAACCGGUCACUGAUUGAAAGUCAAGCAGCAAAAAUCAGUUGUUUUAUUAAUGUUUAAGAUGUUUGAGUAGGUACUUAGGUAAAACACCGAACAACCCAAAUCCACCCGUUAUGCAGAACUCACAUACACAAACAUGUAGAUGUCGACGCCAUUAAUGGAGGAAUUGCAAAGGAACGCAGUUAACCGACCUCGCAUAAAAAGUGUCCCCUUAAACACUUUCUGCAAAAGGUAUAAUAGGAAUAGAACACUAAACCCUUUGGAAUCAAAGUAAUUUCAUUUCUAAAAAAUUAUUUUUCAUGAUAAUAUUACGAACUAAAGCAAACACUAGUUCAAACAUGUUUAUCUGUAUAAUACAGUAUAUAUGUUAAACUCAA